GCCGAACCGAGCGAACGUUAUUCGGAAUCACUGGGCUUAAAGGGCGCGUAGGCGGGCCAUCAAGUCAGGGGUGAAAGCCCCCAGCUCAACUGGGGAAGUGCCUCUGAUACUGGUGGCCUCGAGGGAGGUAGGGGCGUGCGGAACUUCCGGUGGAGCGGUGAAAUGCGUAGAUAUCGGAAGGAACACCGGUGGCGAAAGCGGCGCGCUGGACCUCUUCUGACGCUGAGGCGCGAAAGCCAGGGGAGCGAACGGG
rnacentral:rRNA from 1 species